ensembl:miRNA
ACGUGCGUUGUAGUUUGACCUUUACGUGCGUUGUAGUUUGACCUUUACGUGCGUCGUAGUUUAGCCUUUAUGUGCGU